GUGCUCGCUUUGGCAGCACAUAUACUAAAAUUGGAAUGAUACAGAGAAGAUCAGCAUGGCCCUUGCGCAAGGAUUACACGCAAAUUUGUGAAGCGUUCCAUAUUUUU
rnacentral:snRNA from 1 species